GGAAAUGCCACCCAAAUGGUCAGCUUGCAAGGCUGGAGCGCAGGAGUUACUGCCUUGUUGCUCUUCUCAUGGCUGGUUGGGAAUGUGUUAAGCAGCAGAGGCUUGGCAGUGAAACUCAUAAGGGAAAACAGAAGAUUAAUUCUGCUCCUGGCUUUCUUCAACCCCAGUCUUCAAGUUUUAGCGUUCACGUUGCCACAGGGGCUGUAGUGAUAAAAGAAAACCAUCCAUCGAGUACCCCAGCCUGCUCCUCAUGAAGCUUUUCUGACCAGCAUUCCUCCUGGGAAGAUGAAGCCCUCACACGGGCAUGGGGUGCAGGACCUGUGAGCUAGGUUUGGGCUGCAGGUGCUCCCAGGGAACUUGGAGGCCCUAGGAGAAAACAAGCGACAUUGCAGAGUC
ensembl:lncRNA